UACGUAGGGUGCAAGCGUUGCUCGGAAUCACUGGGCGUAAAGCGCACGUAGGCGGACUCUUAAGUCGGUGGUGAAAUCCUGGAGCUCAACUCCAGAACUGCCUUCGAUACUGAGAGUCUGAGUCCGGGAGAGGUGAGUGGAACUGCGAGUGUAGAGGUGAAAUUCGUAGAUAUUCGCAAGAACACCAGUGGCGAAGGCGGCUCACUGGCCCGGUACUGA
rnacentral:rRNA from 1 species